rnacentral:rRNA from 1 species
CCUACGGGAGGCAGCAGUGGGGAAUAUUGCACAAUGGAGGGAACUCUGAUGCAGCGACGCCGCGUGAGCGAUGAAGGCCUUCGGGUCGUAAAGCUCUGUCCUAUGGGACGAUAAUGACGGUACCAUAGGAGGAAGCCCCGGCUAACUACGUGCCAGCAGCCGCGGUAAUACGUAGGGGGCGAGCGUUGUCCGGAAUUACUGGGCGUAAAGGGUACGCAGGCGGCCAUGUAAGUCAGAUGUGAAAGGUCACGGCUCAACCGUGGUAAGCAUUUGAAACUGUGUGGCUUGAGUUAAGGAGAGAAAAGUGGAAUUCCUGGUGUAGCGGUGAAAUGCGUAGAUAUCAGGAGGAAUACCAGUGGCGAAGGCGACUUUCUGGACUUAAACUGACGCUGAGGUACGAAAGCGUGGGGAGCAAACAGGAUUAGAUACCCUGGUAGUCCACGCCGUAAACGAUGUCGACUUGGAGGUUGUGCCCUUGAGGCGUGGCUUCCGGAGCUAACGCGUUAAGUCGACCGCCUGGGGAGUACGGCCGCAAGGUUAAAACUCAAAUGAAUUGACGG